rnacentral:lncRNA from 1 species
CGUGUUCCUAAGAGUGAUCAUGAUCGCCAUGCUUGUGAUUCAACGGCGCGGCGGAGGUCUGACACGUAUAAGAGAUAUUGGAUCGAAUCUUCCCUCUAACUCAGAUCUGACUUAUCUGAUUGAUCUCGAUCUCUUUCUGUUUGGGAGGUGUCGAGCCGACACGUGACGGCGACGGCCGCUCUUUCUGUUUGGAGGAACUUGUCUGCCGAUGGAUGCCAUCCCUCCAGAAACCAGCAUGAGGAGUUUCAACAUCGUCCAGCAACCAUGAACCAAGCAAAAAGGAAAAUCGAUAGUUGAUUAGUAGACUAGCAGCCCCCUUUGAGGCUCAACGAAAUCAGAGCCACAACGCCAUUGUACCGUUCCGCCGCCGAUGCCAAGCUCCAAUGUUAAGCGCUCAAAUGCCGGUUGGCAAAAUCUCCUGCUCGACGCAUUUCACCAUUGACAGACAGUGGACGUUCAGCGAUACCAAGUACCAUGUGGAUGUUUCUAGUCCAGAGGCUUUAGCGAACUGCCGCCUGUUCUCCGAUGCUUAGUCGGGUUGGAAAGGCGUUGUGUUAUGGUUUUUUGGGAUACGAUUUAAAGCGACUACGAGAGGACCCCUGACGAUACGAACAUAACCGAUGUUACGAGCCUUCAAACCUCGAUAUAAACAAAAUAACUCAAAGGUCAAUUUCGAAAUAAAAGUUUGCAGGUUACAUAAUCUCGCGCCCUUGCUCGCCGUCAGUACGUCAUCGGGGUGAUUUAGGGCAAAUUCACGGGAUUAUAACAUCAGAAAUAGCCUCGUGCUAGCAUCCAUGGGGCAUCGCCUUGGUUGAUAUUAAGUUAUCGUUGCUUAAGCCACACCGCAUAGUGUGAUCUCUAUUGAAGAAGGCUGUCACCCCCCAAGGCUACUGCAGCUCCCAGACAACAAUGUAUAGACAAGACCUAUGGCUAGGGUUCACAUCAAUGCCAUAUUGGUAAUAUGAGUAUGGCCCGUCCGUCAUUCUUGGCUUCUGUCAAGUCCGCGACCGAGGCCUUGUAUGAUUGCUGCUACAAAAGGCCAUUCGGCUGACCUAUAGGCAGUGCCAUGUAUGUGGAAAAUGCAUUUCCAUGCACACCAGUUGGCGAGACAAACCUCAGCAAUAAAGACAGAAUUCUCGACACGUCGGCAAAUUUAGUCUCCCAAUCUUGGAAAUCUAACUGUAUAAAACUGACGGGGUCAUGAUGAGGCAUCAGUUAUGAACACCGCCCAGCUCCAAUGCUCUACUUGACCUACCGCGGCGGAAUAUCAGUUUCGCACUUGCAAGUUGGAUUAAAGAAUGGAGAAGGCGAUGAAUGGAGACUACGAAUCGGGACAUCAGCCUUUCUCGAAAUAUUAUGUUUCUCAAGUUUAUAUCCUAUAACUCUACAUGACACCAAAGCAAAUUCUGAACUGAUAUGCGAUGCAUCUUGGCUUCGUGAGACAUCAGCAACGAGGCCCGUAUUCUUUUGUGAGGAUAGACCCGGCAGAGCCACCUCUUGUGGCCAUACGGCCUAUAUCCGAUUGGCCCUAAACUGCAGAAAUCGGGUGACAAGAAUAUCUUAGUCCGGACUUUGGAGUAUCCAACUCAGCAAGCGUUAUGUUAUCUGGAAGACGAAACAGCAAGACUUCGGUGGCCAUUGUGCACGGGUACCUGCCACUCCGGUGGAGUAACAGUAGGCAUCAAGUUAGUGACCAGUGGGCAAAGACUAGAAUGGAGGAAACAAGGAUAGCUCUCAUAUUCGUGGCACGGUGACGCAUCUGCUUGGGAGCCCGCAACGGUUGCUUCCUGUUAGAGUUAGUGCGCUCUCUGUUGAUGUUUGCCUACGUCGCUCGACUCGAGGUCCCGAAGGAGACGAAGGAGCUCAUUCUUGAGACACGGUGUACUCCGUACAGAGCCUAUGCCAUACUCGUUUACGAACUAAGGGACUUGUCACAAGAAAACUUGCUUUUUCUAUGGUGCACAGUCAAACAUCAUUUCUCCCUACUUUUUUCAGUAUGCAUUUCGUACGGGACUGCAUAAUCAGGGAAGUUUAUGCUCUCAUUACACCCGUCCGGUCCAAAUCAGGUCUACCUUGCGCCCACAGCUUGCUAGGUGUCGGGGAAGUGAAGCCGCUGCAAACUUGAUAUGAAUCAUCACACACGCGUCCAAAUAGGGAACGCGUACUAACAUUACUGAGCAAGUCAAUUCGAUAACAGUCAAACACGUACUAGCCUGCAUAGCCCACACUUGGGUUAGCGGUCACGACUGUUAUCGACAUUCGAUUACGUACUCCUUGCCUUUUCAUGGCCUAUUUUACGAUGUUUGAUAGAUCGUCGGUUUAAAGUUUAAGUAUUUGUUUUUUUCUUUAUGACAAAGAAGUGGAACCCGAGAAGUUGCCGGUAUUUUAUUUUCUCGGCUUUCCAGGCUGACAGCAAGGUUCAGAUGAAGCCUGAUCCGUCGAGGCUCACUUCAACACAACUUUUAGAUAGAGGUUUUCAUACGCACUGAUCAAGAUUGAAUAAUUUUUAAACAUAUAUAUAUAUA